rnacentral:rRNA from 1 species
UACGGGAGGCAGCAGGGGGGAAUAUUGCACAAUGGGCGAAAGCCUGAUGCAGCUAUGCCGCGUGUAUGAAGAAGGCCUUAGGGUUGUAAAGUACUUUCAUCGGGGAGGAAAAAACAAAACUAAUAAUUUUAUUUCUUGACGUUACCCGAAAAAGAAGCACCGGCUAACUCCGUGCCAGCAGCCGCGGUAAUACGGAGGGUGCUAGCGUUAAUCAGAAUUACUGGGCGUAAAGAGCACGUAGGUGGUUUUUUUAAGUCAGAUGUGAAAUCCCUGGGCUUAACCUGGAACUGCAUUUUGAAACUGAAAUACUAGAGUAUCGUAGAGGGAGGUAGAAUUCUAGGUGUAGCGGUGAAAUGCGUAGAUAUCUGGAGGAAUACCUGUGGCGAAAGCGGCCUCCUAAACGAAUACUGACACUGAGGGUGCGAAAGCGUGGGGAGCAAACAGGGAUUAGAUACC